rnacentral:lncRNA from 1 species
AGUUCAUAAUAACUUAAUUAUUAAAUAUUAAAAUCACAUAUGGAACUUUAUUAUGUUAACAAAGUUCACUUACCCGGAUAUAUAAGGCAAAAAGUAUAUUUUCUUGCCUCUUCCAAAACUUCUUAUCAGAUUCUGGUUGAUCUGAUCAAAAUCAUUUGAUUCAUGAAUUGAUUGGGGAUCAAUGAAUCCAUAAUCAUCAGAACGNCCCAACUUGUUACUGACCCCAGACAUAUACCUGAAAUCAAAAAUUAACUUUGAUGUAAGGAUACUUGAUAUAUAAUUCAAUUUUAUAUAUAAAUAAUCUCUCAUAGACUU